rnacentral:rRNA from 1 species
AGGGAGUUUGAUCCUGGCUCAGGAUGAACGCUAGCUACAGGCCUAACACAUGCAAGUCGCGGGGCAGCAUGGGCGUAGCAAUACGCCUGAUGGCGACCGGCGCACGGGUGCGUAACGCGUAUCCAACCUGGCCCUUACUCGGGUAUAGCCCUGCGAAAGUAGGAUUAAUCCCCGAUGUUGUCAAGCGAUAGCCUUUUCACUUGACCAAAGAGUUUUUCGGUAAGGGAUGGGGAUGCGUUCCAUUAGCUAGUUGGCGGGGUAACGGCCCACCAAGGCAACGAUGGAUAGGGGUUCUGAGAGGAAGGUCCCCCACACUGGAACUGAGACACGGUCCAGACUCCUACGGGAGGCAGCAGUGAGGAAUAUUGGUCAAUGGCCGCAAGGCUGAACCAGCCAAGUAGCGUGAAGGAUGACGGCCCUCCGGGUUGUAAACUUCUUUUGUCGGAGAUUAAGGUGGCCCACGCGUUGGGUCAUUGCAGUAAUCCGUCGAAUAAGCAUCGGCUAACUCCGUGCCAGCAGCCGCGGUAAUACGGAGGAUGCGAGCGUUAUCCGGAUUUAUUGGGUUUAAAGGGAGCGUAGAUGGGACGUUAAGCCAGUUGUGAAAAGCGCGGGCCCAACCCGCGUCGUGCAAUUGGAACUGGUGUUCUUGAGUAGGUUCGGGGCAGGUGGAAUUCGUGGUGUAGCGGUGAAAUGCUUAGAUAUCACGAAGAACUCCGACAGCGCAGGCAGCCUGCCAGGCCCUUACUGACAUUGAAGCUCGAAGGUGCGGGUAUCAAACAGGAUUAGAUACCCUGGUAGUCCCCU